AGCUUUAUAGUUAAAAUUAUAACAUCAAAUUGCAAAUUUGAAAGUGGAAUCUCCUAAGGCUU
rnacentral:tRNA from 1 species